UCAGAGCCAGAAGAGGGGUAAAGCAUCCGCCUGUGAUGCGGAAGACCCAGGUUCGAUCCCUGGGUUGGGAA
rnacentral:tRNA from 1 species